UCAAAAAGUGACUUUUUAUACAUUGGGAAUUUGGGAAAACUUCCUUCAUGAAAGUUGUAGAGGACAUUAAACCGAGUGCGUGCAUAUGUGGUACGUAAAAAUCGGAGUUCGUAUGCGAAAGUUAUAAGCAAAAUAUGAAAGUUACUGUUUAUGGUAGAUUGGUAUAAAUUUGAAAUGUUACUGUAGCCAGGUAACUUUUCUUUCUUUUCUCUCUCCUUCCCCCGUGCUCUCUCAGUCUCUCUCUUCUGCAACUCUCUCUUUCUCUCUUCUGCAACCUCCUCUUUCACCACCUCUAGACCACCAAAUGGCGAGCUGCGAGCAUCGAUAGACUCGUCUCUUCCUCCUUAUCACGCAUGUGGGAGUUGUUUACGACGAUUUGGCCGGAAAUGUGGAGAUCGAAGCCAACAUUUUUACUGUAGCAAAUUAGUCAACGCCGAUUUCCGGCCACCUCCAGUCAUAAACCCAGGUCCAUUAGAAGCGCCUUAAGCCGCUCUUCAUGCUCGCCAAGUCUCAUAACCCAGAUCGAAGCAUGGAGGAAGAAAGCAUAAUUGGAAAAUUUCACUGUACAUCGGAGUGCUUAAUUGUUCGGCUACUUCAAGGUGAUUGACGGUUUGAGUUGGUGGACGAUUGUGGAUCGUAUUUUGAGCUGAAUUGAAGACGCAGCGGGAUUAUCGAGCGGGUAAUCCUACAGGACAGGAGAACCAGGACGGUGACCGUGCGGUUAGAGCAAUUGUUAGAGUUUUACAGCAAUUGUAAGUUGUGAGGUGUGUUAUGCUCAUUUAGAGCUUUACAAUAUUGCUUGUGAGAGUGAAUUGUAAUAAUGAACUCGAGGUUUCGAGAUUUGGAGUUUGUGUACCUUGUGGUGAGAUUAUAUUGAGAAAAAAAUUCAGAACGUUUAUUUGAUUAAGUGGUUUAAUUCAUGUUUCGGAUUUGAAUUUAUUAUUCAAAAUUCGGGGCGUGACAGUUUGGUAUCAGAGCGUAAGGUACAUAUUUGGUGAUAAUCAGUACCUCCCGAGUGAUGGCCCGUCUGCAGCGGAUCCCCAUCAUAUACUCUUCGGUACUGGUAAAAUCAUUGGGUAUGUCUUAGUAUGGGGUCUAGACAACGUGUAAGUCCGUAGGACGGUAGAGUUGUCUACUAAGUUCGUAUUAGAAUAAGUUUAGUUUCCGCGAGUUGUGAUCUUCGAGGAAUAGGAACCUCUGGAUUUAACUCUGAUGAGUCGGUGAGGUAGAGGUCGAGUCUGAUGUAGGGACAUGACCUUUCUAUGGAGACAGUUGAGGAUGAGGUGGAGGCAUUAGAGGUUGAGUUGCCUAGUCUACCUGUA